AUUGAACGCUGGCGGCAGGCCUAACACAUGCAAGUCGAGCGGACGAAGGGAGCUUGCGCCUGGAUUCAGCGGCGGACGGGUGAGUAAUGCCUAGGAAUCUGCCUGGCAGUGGGGGAUAGCGUCCGGAAGCGGGCGCUAAUCCCGCAUCCGUCCAGAGGGAGAAAGUGGGGGAUCUUCGGACCUCACGCUAUCAGAUGAGACUAGGUCGGGUUAGCUAGUUGGUGGGGUAAAGGCCUACCAAGGCGACGAUCCGUAACGGGUCUGAGAGGAUGAUCAGUCACACUGGAACUGAGACACGGUCCAGACUCCUACGGGAGGCAGCAGUGGGGAAUAUUGGACAAUGGGCGAAAGCCUGAUCCAGCCAUGCCGCGUGUGUGAAGAAGGUCUUCGGAUUGUAAAGCACUUUAAGUUGGGAGGAAGGGCAGUAAGUUAAUACCUUGCUGUUUUGACGUUACCAACAGAAUAAGCACCGGCUAACUUCGUG
rnacentral:rRNA from 1 species